rnacentral:tRNA from 1 species
GGGCUUAUAGUCUAGUGGUAAGACGCCACAUUCGCAUUGUGGAGACGGCGGUUCGAUUCCGCCUAAGUCCACCA